AAAAUCUACAAAUGAAGCAGAGUUUAUCAACAAUCCAUUGUAAACAAGACCACAAAGUGAAAAUGUCGUCAGGAGAAGUGUGCAAGAUGCGCGGAUUGAUGUACGGAAUGAAAAAAGACUUGGCGCGCCAAGUUCGAACGAAAAAUCCGGAUUUUCAGCUUACAAAUUUUUUUUUGCCGAGAAGCUUAUCCAGCAAGUAAAAAAAAAAAAGAAAAUACGAAAAAUGAGGUCAUUCACGAAAAAGCCAACAGCAGCACCCGCUCGACGAGAACAAAAAAAGAAAGAGACCAAAGGUCUCGAGUUAUAACCCUCUUGAUGAUAAAUUUUUAACACGACUGCGCAAAUUGCGCCACCCUUUCCGACCUUCCGGUAGUUUCACUCUUUGACGAUCCGUCAUCCCCACCAACAGCUACAACAUAAUUUUGUGUUUCUCCUUUGACUUCUUCCGUGUCUUCCUUUUUUUUUUUUUUAUUCAACUGUCACAGCAAUGAUAACCAUAUGUUAUGAAUUAUAUUGUAUAUAUAUCGAACCCGAUGGAGAGCAACCGACAUGAGCGCCCUAAUUUUUUACGAGUUAGAAAGUUUCUCUUCCUCGUUGUUGCCCUGUUGUCAACCCAUAUAGACACACAUGGCCCAAAUAUGGUUAUCGGCCAGCCAACUGCUCGGAUGGAUGAAUGAAAAACCGUUGGACAUCAAACACACAAUUUUGGAAAACCAAAAAUAAAUCAAACAGGUACCAAACAAUGUUUUUUCUUCUUUCUUUGUAAACGAAAAAAAAUUAUUUUUUUUUUAUUUCGAAAAAAA